GACGAACGCUGGCGGCGUGCCUAACACAUGCAAGUCGAGCGGAGAAAUUAAAGCUUGCUUUAAUUUCUUAGCGGCGGACGGGUGAGUAACACGUGGGCAACCUGCCCUUGAGAGGGGGAUAACACAGAGAAAUUUGUGCUAAUACCGCAUAACAUUUAGACUUCGCCUGGAGUUUAAAUCAAAGGAGUAAUCCGCUCAAGGAUGGGCCCGCGGCGCAUUAGCUAGUUGGUGAGGUAAUGGCUCACCAAGGCGACGAUGCGUAGCCGACCUGGGAGGGUGAUCGGCCACAUUGGAACUGGGACACGGUCCAGACUCCUACGGGAGGCAGCAGUGGGGAAUAUUGCGCAAUGGGGGAAACCCUGACGCAGCAACGCCGCGUGAGCGAUGAAGGCCUUCGGGUUGUAAAGCUCUGUCUUUGGGGACGAUAAUGACGGUACCCAAGGAGGAAGCCACGGCUAACUACGUGCCAGCCGCCGCCGUAACAC
rnacentral:rRNA from 1 species